rnacentral:rRNA from 1 species
CCAUAGAUUGAACGCUGGCGGCAGGCCUAACACAUGCAAGUCGAGCGGAAACGAGUUCUCUGAACCUUCGGGGAACGAUAACGGCGUCGAGCGGCGGACGGGUGAGUAAUGCCUAGGAAAUUGCCCUGAUGUGGGGGAUAACCAUUGGAAACGAUGGCUAAUACCGCAUGAUGCCUACGGGCCAAAGAGGGGGACCUUCGGGCCUCUCGCGUCAGGAUAUGCCUAGGUGGGAUUAGCUAGUUGGUGAGGUAAGGGCUCACCAAGGCGACGAUCCCUAGCUGGUCUGAGAGGAUGAUCAGCCACACUGGAACUGAGACACGGUCCAGACUCCUACGGGAGGCAGCAGUGGGGAAUAUUGCACAAUGGGCGCUAGCCUGAUGCAGCCAUGCCGCGUGUGUGAAGAAGGCCUUCGGGUUGUAAAGCACUUUCAGUCGUGAGGAAGGUAGUGUAGUUAAUAGCUGCAUUAUUUGACGUUAGCGACAGAAGAAGCACCGGCUAACUCCGUGCCAGCAGCCGCGGUAAUACGGAGGGUGCGAGCGUUAAUCGGAAUUACUGGGCGUAAAGCGCAUGCAGGUGGUUUGUUAAGUCAGAUGUGAAAGCCCGGGGCUCAACCUCGGAAUUGCAUUUGAAACUGGCAGACUAGAGUACUGUAGAGGGGGGUAGAAUUUCAGGUGUAGCGGUGAAAUGCGUAGAGAUCUGAAGGAAUACCGGUGGCGAAGGCGGCCCCCUGGACAGAUACUGACACUCAGAUGCGAAAGCGU